rnacentral:rRNA from 1 species
AACGAACGCUGGCGGCAUGCCUAACACAUGCAAGUCGAACGAGACCUUCGGGUCUAGUGGCGCACGGGUGCGUAACGCGUGGGAACCUGCCCUUAGGUUCGGAAUAACUCCCCGAAAGGGGUGCUAAUACCGGAUAAUGUCUUCGGACCAAAGAUUUAUCGCCUUUGGAUGGGCCCGCGUUGGAUUAGCUAGUUGGUAGGGUAAAAGCCUACCAAGGCGACGAUCCAUAGCUGGUCUGAGAGGAUGAUCAGCCACACUGGGACUGGGACACGGCCCAGACUCUUACGGGAGGCAGCAGUGGGGAAUAUUGGACAAUGGGCGAAAGCCUGAUCCAGCAAUGCCGCGUGAGUGAUGAAGGCCUUAGGGUUGUAAAGCUCUUUUACCCGGGAUGAUAAUGACAGUACCGGGAGAAUAAGCUCCGGCUAACUCCGUG